rnacentral:misc_RNA from 1 species
CAAAUAGCCAGAAAACAGAAAAGAUUAAGUAAAACUAAACUUGAGGCUCAUAGGAUUCAUCAAUAUUUUAUUUCAUCAUUCUUUGUUUUCAAAUCUAAAGCAUAUAAUACUGUGGUAGAUUUUUGAGAUAUGAACUCUAAACAUAUAUGACAAUAAAAUCCAAAAGGGCACCAAAGAAAAAUUUAAGACUGCCCUAGUUUUGUUUCACAUAGCAAUAAUAAUUAUUCAAGAUGGCAAACAUGAUUAUUGAUACAUAACAACAAAAAAAGAGAAUUUCAGCGUUUUCUCCAAUAAACAAGAGUAAAGAAACCAUCAACACUGUCUGUCACUCUCUCUUCUUUCUUCGGUUAUGUGACACAAAACCUCACUUCAUCUUGUCGUAUCACCAAAUAUUAUAUUCAAGUUAACAAAAGGGACUCAGCUGCAUUGAUUUUAAGAAGAAUAUUCUACACAACUUUUCUCCUUUUACCAAAACAUGUAAUAGAACGAAAGCAAAAAGAAUCUUGCAAAAUACAUUAUUAAAACAGAAACGGACGAGGGAAAAAAAAAACAGAGAACAAAAG